CUCAGACAGACGCCAGGCUGCUCCUCUCCAGGGCAGAUGCGAUGAAGCUCCGAUGCAGGAUGGACAUAGGCUAGAAUCUUCCCGGCAGGGUUCCACAGCAAGUACAUACUGGGUCCUGGCUGCCAGGAAACCUGCUCACACAGGUCUGGACUCUUUUCAAAUUCAUCAGGGAGCCUGUGGGAGCCAUGCCGUUCGCUGUAUCCUGAGACAGGACCUUUCACUGGCCUGAGCUUGCUGAUAAAACAAGGCUGGCUGGCCAGGGAGGCCCGGGGAUCUUCCUGUCUCGACCUCCUCAGUGCUGGGAUCACAAGCACACAACCCUGCGCCUGGCCUUUUUAUGUGGCUUAUGUGGACACUCAUCUCUUCAUGUUUGCACAGCAAAUGCUUCAACACCCGAGCCAUCUCGCCAGCUCUUGGGAUCGCAGCUACUUUAAUAAUAAACCCUUUUCAUGCUUACUGCAGAUGGGGUCCCCUCUUGCCCGUACCCAGGAAAGUCGCUGUUAUUCAUAACCUUACAUACUUGCUUAUUAUGGCAUGCCCCUCUCCUGCGUGUCCUGAAAAAUGCUCACACUGUUAGCAAGUUCUGCUGGUUAAUAAAGCAAUGCUACCUUGAGUUGCUAAAAAUGCCUCCCCAGGCUGGGGAGAUGGUUCAGGAGUUAAGAGCACUUGCUAUGCCCGCAGAUGACCUGAGUUCGGUUCCUGGCACCCACAUGGUGGCUCACAACCCCCUGUAACUCCAGUUCCAGGGGACUCUGAUGCCCUCUUCUGGCCUCCACACACACCGUGCACAUACAUGGUGCACCGACAUACACAUGCAGGCAGAACACUCAUGCACGUAAAAUAAAAAUAAAUGGAGAAGAAAGAAAGAAAAAUGCGUAUGCAUCUGAAGACACUUCAGUGUGGCACCUCUGUCACCAGGACAUGGCAGGGAAGCCCUCUGGGUUAUCCACUAUGUUGAUGGGACAGAAAUCUGAAGUGGCUCCCACCUCUGACUUUCCAUUCCUCUUGGAGGCUGACAGGGGUUUCAGCCGUCCACUGAUGCUGGGACCACCAGCCUGGGAGCCUGCAGUGGUGGGGUUAUGGCUUCAGAGCAUCUUCCAAAGGUUUGUUGGAUUGAAAGCCUGGUCCCCAGUGUGACGAUGUGGGAAGUAAUGGAGCCUUUAACAGCUAAGCAUAACGGGAACCAUUUCCUUCAUGAGCUUCCCAGCCUUGGUCAUUUUGUUCUUAGUAAAUGAAAAGCAGACUAGAUAGAGCCUGCCUGGAGGACUCAUGUCUUUUAGCUGCUGGGGUCAGUACAUAAUUAAAAAAACAAAAACACCUUUUUUUUUUUUGACUAAAAAAGUAAGACCAAUUCACAGGGCCUCUCUGCAGAGGCCAAAUGUGUCCCAAGCCACUGGAGUCUCAAAACUAAAACACAGUAAUCUUUUGCAUUCAGGGUGAAAGAUGAGAGCCGGUGCGACAGGGGACAGGUGGUCCUGUAGCCAGGCCCAAGGUCCCAUGCAGGGCCCAAGAUGGGGUGCACCUGGCGGGGUUCCAGGCCGCGCAGACCCUCCUCGCCCUCCCGGACACAGGAAGAAACAGGCCUCCUUUCUUUCUCUCCCCACAUCCACUGCUUCACGCAUAAGGAAAGAACAGAACGGGAAAUGCCUUCGCCACAGCGUUCCCUGGGUGGACGAGAGGAAAGAGGGGGCACGUCUUUAUCCCACCCCAAGGCCCCGCCAUGUCUGGGCAGGGCCCCAGUGCCCAGGCCCUGCUGCUGCUG